AAAGUCGUAACAAGGUUUCCGUAGGUGAACCUGCGGAAGGAUCAUUAUCAAUUCUAGCAAGUAACCCUUUAGGGUUCUUGCUCACGUAUUUAAAACCCCACACUUUAUGAAAAUUUUAUAUAUAUAUAUUUACUUUAAUAAGUAAUUAAAAGAUCACUUUCAACAACGGAUCUCUUGGCUCUC
rnacentral:misc_RNA from 1 species